UUCUUCAGCGUUCAUUUGAUAGCAAUUAGCAGUUCAUUGUUUUUGGAAAUAUCUCAUUUAAUCCUGAAACUCAGGGUGAUGGUUAUUAUUAAUUCUUUUCUUCAGAGGAGGAAAUGGAGACUCAGAUUCAAUUGGAUCAUUUGUUCGAGGCCACACAUUGAAUUUUGUUGCUGCUCUGCACUGAGUGGAAGCUUAGUGAGAGAAAUACUGAUGCUGUCCUGUCUGAGAACCUUCAGAACAAGAUUUGUGGCCCAUAAUAACGAAGGAUUAAGUAACCAUUGAAGAAGCUUCUUGAUGACUGGAGAAGAACACAAAAGUGGCGAAUGAGGGUUUGCAAAGGCAGUGAAUGUGGAUGUAUAGUGUGAGUAUAUGGAGAUGUGAUCCAUUUUCCAAACUGCAUUAUAUCUUUUCAUUCAAAGAUAUAAUUAGAAAUAAAAAAUAAGCCACUAAACUU
rnacentral:lncRNA from 1 species